UACCCUUCUAUUUGCGGAGAGCUAUUGCCUA
rnacentral:piRNA from 1 species